CAGAGACUGCAAGCGUUAUUCGGAUUCACUGGGCGUAAAGGGUGCGCAGGCGGUUGGGUGUGUCAGAUGUGAAAUCCCGAGGCCUAACCUCGGAACUGCGUCUGAAACUACUCGACUAGAGUAUUGGAGAGGGUAACGGAAUUCACGGUGUAGCAGUGAAAUGCGUAGAUAUCGUGAGGAACACCAGAGGCGAAGGCGGUUACCUGGACAAUUACUGACGCUCAGGCACGAAAGCAUGGGGAGCAAAAGGGAUUAGAUACCCCUGUAGUCCAUGCCCUAAACGGUGCACACUAGGUCUUAGCGGAUUCGACCCCACUAGGGCCCAAGCUAACGCGUUAAGUGUGCCGCCUGAGGACUACGGUCGCAAGACUA
rnacentral:rRNA from 1 species